rnacentral:rRNA from 1 species
GAUGAACGCUGGCGGCGUGCCUAACACAUGCAAGUCGAGCGAACCCUUCGGGGUGAGCGGCGGACGGGUGAGUAACGCGUGGGUAACCUGCCCUAUACAUAUGGAUAACAUACCGAAAGGUAUGCUAAUACAAAAUAAAGUGUGGACUUCGCAUGAAGAUCAUACCAAAGAUUUUAUCGGUAUAGGAUGGACCCGCGUCUGAUUAGCUAGUUGGUGAGGUAAUGGCUCACCAAGGCGACGAUCAGUAGCCGACCUGAGAGGGUGAUCGGCCACAUUGGAACUGAGACACGGUCCAAACUCCUACGGGAGCAGCAGUGGGAUAUUGCACAAUGGGCGAAAGCCUGAUGCAGCAACGCCGCGUGAGUGAUGAAGGCUUU